rnacentral:rRNA from 1 species
UACGUAGGGUGCGAGCGUUGUCCUGAAUUAUUGGGCGUAAAGAGCUCGUAGGCGGUUUGUCGCGUCUGCUGUGAAAUCCCGAGGCUCAACCUCGGGUCUGCAGUGGGUACGGGCAGACUGGAGUGCGGUAGGGGAGAAUGGAAUUCCUGGUGUAGCGGUGGAAUGCGCAGAUAUCAGGAGGAAUACCGAUGGCGAAGGCAGUUCUCUGGGCCGUAACUGACGCUGAGGAGCGAAAGCGUGGGGAGCGAACAGG